CGAGAAUUGCCCUGAAAUUUCGCGAGGCACAAGGAUAGAAUAUUCGAGACGUUGCAAAAUAAAUUUAAUCAUUUGGAAAUUGGAAGAAAUACAAAGUAUAAACAAAAUAAUAAAGAAGGAAAAUGGACUCCUGCUUUGAAGUGGACCAUUCUGCACGCGCGUUCCGUUUCAUUACUGUGCAUCACAAAGAGCAUCAGAAGGUAUGAUUAUUUCGUCACAGUUGCACCAUUCUCCGAGGAUGUGAUCGUAGAAGAAUGGCCCUGAAGUGAAGCUGAAGACAGAAAACUAAGGGGAGUCACCAAAAAGUAAAUCCCUGGAGCAGGCAGGAAAUUCAAACACAUGGACAUUGAAUACAUAGAGAUGAAUAGGUGGAAGUUCCACGGGGUAGGUACGACCAUGGUAAAUAUCUACAGACGACAUCCUGUCCCUUGCCAACCCAAAAUUCUGGAGGACAGCCCUGGGUAGAAGUUCUUCAUUACUGCAGGAUCUCUCCUUAUUAAUUGUUUGGGCUACUGUCUGAACGGUAGUUUUUUAAAUAUGAAUGAGAUAAUUAUACGAUAAAUAUUUAUAAUUGGUCAAUAUAUAUAAUGGUUUUGAUAUACAAAGAAAAAUUAAGGACGUGAAGAAAUAGAGAUUGAGAAAUAAAUUCGAACAGUUGUCGAUAUUGUAGGAAAAUUGUAUGAACAUUAUCAGGGAAGGAGUGAUAAUGGAAUUUGUAAAGGUUUUACGCAAAUGUGAGAAUUAUCCGUUUCAAAUUGUUCAUUGGUUUUUGCCGGUUUUUUAUUCAUUGAAAAUAAUCAGUUAGUGAAGUAUUGGUAUCAAUUCCAUUUGAAGUCAAGUUGCGUUUUUAAUGUGAUUAGAAAGGUAAAUGGGGUGGUCUUUACAAAAGUUAUAAAGAAUUGAAGAAGAAACUGGAAAUAUAUUGGACUGUUCU